rnacentral:rRNA from 1 species
UACGUAGGUGUCGAGCGUUGUCCGGAUUUAUUGGGCGUAAAGCGCCCGCAGGCGGCUUGGCAAGUUUGAGGUGAAAUCUCCCGGCUCAACUGGGAAGGUGCCUCGAAAACUGCCAGGCUUGAGUCAUGGGAGAGGGAUGCAGAAUUCCAGGUGUAGCGGUGAAAUGCGUAGAUAUUGGGAAGAACACCUGAGGCGAAGGCGGGUUGCUGGGCUGAUACUGACGCUGAGGCGCGAAAGCCAGGGGAGCAAACGGG